GCUAUCUCGUGCAUUAGAGAAGGAGAACUAAGACAGAGGAGCAGCUCCUCAGGGGAGAAGAUUUGGAAUCAUUAAAAUUGUAUCAAGAGUGUGAUAUCAGGAUGGAGAACAUGCUGGAAUGUGCAUUCAUAGUCUUGUGGCUUCAGCUUGGCUGGUUGAGGGGAGAAGACAAGGUGGAGCAGAGUCCUCAGACCCUGAAAAUCCAGGAGGGAGACAGUCUCAUCCUCAACUGCAGCUACACGGUCAGCAGAUUUAACGGGCUACUGUGGUAUAGACAGGAUCCUGGGAAGGGACCCGAACUUCUCUUCGCUCUUUACUCAGUUGGGGAUGAAAAGCAGAACGAAAGACUAAAAGCCACCUUGUUAAAGAAGGGAAGCUCUCUGCACAUCGCAGCCCCUAAACCUGAAGACUCAGCCACUUACCUCUGUGCUGUGAAGACACAGUGCUCCCCGGGCACCUGCAGCCUGUACACAAACCCUGCAGCUGGGGCUCUGGAAUCAGGGCAUCUUUGGUGUUUUCCCCUCCUCGACGAAGUAGUUACUUAGCACCCAGAACCUCUUUCCAAGUAGUC